UAAAAUACCAAAAAACACUACAAUACUUUCUUUCAAGAACAAUAUUCCUUCAUCAACUGAUAACAACAGUGUGCAACCCUGCACUCUUAAAAGACUGCUCAAAAUUCAUAAAUUCCAUCCAACACCAGGAAUAACAGACUUCAUUCCAACCAAUUUGGAUUCACAGAAUUUCUGUAAUCAUAGACUUCUUUUGUCCAAAACACACACGACUCUCAAUAAACAACAAUCAUAAUCUUCUAUCCAUAAUCAAUCUUCUAAUAACUUCUUAUAUAAUUCAAUCACAUAAUACUCUAAUUACAUAAUCAAUAACUCAUAAAUCAAUCUCUCAUUUAUUCUACAUACUCACUUCUUAGUAUUCA
rnacentral:lncRNA from 1 species